rnacentral:rRNA from 1 species
UACGGAAGGCAGCAGGUGGGGAAUAUUGCACAAUGGGCGAAAGCCUGAUGCAGCUAUGCCGCGUGUAUGAAGAAGGCCUUAGGGUUGUAAAGUACUUUCAUCGGGGAAGGAAAAACAAAACUAAUAAUUUUAUUUCUUGACGUUACCCGAAAAAGAAGCACCGGCUAACUCCGUGCCAGCAGCCGCGGUAAUACGGAGGGUGCUGGCGUUAAUCAGAAUUACUGGGCGUAAAGAGCACGUAGGUGGUUUUUUUAAGUUCAGAUGUGAAAUCCCUGGGCUUAACCUAGGAACUGCAUUUUGAAACUGAAAUACUAGAGUAUCGUAGAGGGAGGUAGAAUUCUAGGUGUAGCGGUGAAAUGCGUAGAUAUCUGGAGGAAUACCUGUGGCGAAAGCGGCCUCCUAAACGAAUACUGACACUGAGGGUGCGAAAAGCGUGGGGAGGCAAACAGGGAUUAGAUACC